GAUGAACGCUAGCGGCAGGCUUAAUACAUGCAAGUCGAGGGGCAGCAGGGUGUAGCAAUACAUCGCUGGCGACCGGCAAACGGGUGCGGAACACGUACGCAACCUUCCUUCAAGUGGGGAAUAGCCCAGGGAAACUUGGAUUAAUACCUCGUAACAUUAUGAGAUGGCAUCAUUUUAUAAUUAUAGUUCCGACGCUUGAAGAUGGGCGUGCGCCUGAUUAGGUAGUUGGAGGUGUAACGGCCCACCAAGCCUUCGAUCAGUAACUGGUGUGAGAGAACGACCAGUCACACGGGCACUGAGACACGGGCCCGACUCCUACGGGAGGCAGCAGUAAGGAAUAUUGGUCAAUGGACGCAAGUCUGAACCAGCCAUGCCGCGUGGAGGAUGAAGGUCCUCUGGAUUGUAAACUUCUUUUAUCUGGGAAGAAAUCCAUAUUUUCUAAUGUGGUUGACGGUACCAGAUGAAUAAGCACCGGCUAACUCCGUGCCAGCCGCCGCCGUAAGAC
rnacentral:rRNA from 1 species